GACGAACGCUGGCGGCGUGCUUAACACAUGCAAGUCGAACGGAAAGGCCCUGCUUUUGUGGGGUGCUCGAGUGGCGAACGGGUGAGUAACACGUGAGUAACCUGCCCUUGACUUUGGGAUAACUUCAGGAAACUGGGGCUAAUACCGGAUAGGAGCUCCUGCUGCAUGGUGGGGGUUGGAAAGUUUCGGCGGUUGGGGAUGGACUCGCGGCUUAUCAGCUUGUUGGUGGGGUAGUGGCUUACCAAGGCUUUGACGGGUAGCCGGCCUGAGAGGGUGACCGGCCACAUUGGGACUGAGAUACGGCGCAGACGCCUACGGGAGGCAGCAGUGGGGAAUAUUGCACAAUGGGCGGAAGCCUGAUGCAGCAACGCCGCGUGCGGGAUGACGGCCUUCGGGUUGUAAACCGCUUUCGCAUGUGACGAAGCGUGAGUGACGGUAAUGGGUAAAGAAGCACCGGCUAACUACGUG
rnacentral:rRNA from 1 species